AUUGAGGCUAGAGUCAGGCUUGCCUUAGUGUGCUAGAGUCCUCAAAGAGUAACUACUGACUUUAUUCACUGGCUGUGGCCUUCAUGGCACAGCCAGUCACUGGGUCAGUGACACGC